AGUGAACGCUGGCGGUAGGCCUAACACAUGCCAGUCGAACGGCAGCACAGUAAGAGCUUGCUCUUACGGGUGGCGAGUGGCGGACGGGUGAGGAAUACAUCGGAAUCUACUUUUUCGUGGGGGAUAACGUAGGGAAACUUACGCUAAUACCGCAUACGACCUACGGGUGAAAGCAGGGGAUCUUCGGACCUUGCGCGAUUGAAUGAGCCGAUGUCGGAUUAGCUAGUUGGCGGGGUAAAGGCCCACCAAGGCGACGAUCCGUAGCUGGUCUGAGAGGAUGAUCAGCCACACUGGAACUGAGACACGGUCCAGACUCCUACGGGAGGCAGCAGUGGGGAAUAUUGGACAAUGGGCGCAAGCCUGAUCCAGCCAUACCGCGUGGGUGAAGAAGGCCUUCGGGUCGUAAAGCCCUUUUGUUGGGAAAGAAAAGCAGCAGGUUAAUACCCCGCUGUUCUGACGGUACCCAAAGAAUAAGCACCGGCUAACUUCGUG
rnacentral:rRNA from 1 species